UCGAAACAAAGUAGAACACCUGAAGGUGUUUCUAAG
rnacentral:rRNA from 1 species